GUCUAGGCCUGGUGGAAAGUCGGUGUUGUGUGUCAGUGGUGUUAGGGGGAGGGGUAUGGUGCUAAGCCGUUUGCCUUCGAUGUCCUGCGCCACACGUUCAUGGUGUAUUCGGUGUAUGGGGACAUUUCCCUGUGUCCCGGAUCUCUCCGGCCCCAGGGUAUAACUGAAAGCGGCACGCCCGCCUCUGUCUCCUCUGCUACUUUCCAGAGUUUAUGGAC